GAGGAAAGAGGGCGGCGUGCCUAAUACAUGCAAGUCGAGCGAACAGACGAGGAGCUUGCUCCUCUGACGUUAGCGGCGGACGGGUGAGUAACACGUGGGUAACCUACCUAUAAGACUGGGAUAACUUCGGGAAACCGGAGCUAAUACCGGAUAAUAUAUUGAACCGCAUGGUUCAAUAGUGAAAGACGGUUUUGCUGUCACUUAUAGAUGGAUCCGCGCCGCAUUAGCUAGUUGGUAAGGUAACGGCUUACCAAGGCAACGAUGCGUAGCCGACCUGAGAGGGUGAUCGGCCACACUGGAACUGAGACACGGUCCAGACUCCUACGGGAGGCAGCAGUAGGGAAUCUUCCGCAAUGGGCGAAAGCCUGACGGAGCAACGCCGCGUGAGUGAUGAAGGUCUUCGGAUCGUAAAACUCUGUUAUUAGGGAAGAACAAAUGUGUAAGUAACUAUGCACGUCUUGACGGUACCUAAUCAGAAAGCCACGGCUAACUACGUG
rnacentral:rRNA from 1 species